rnacentral:lncRNA from 1 species
CCGUGAAUUAGGACCUGGGAAGAAUAAGCUAUUGGUUAACAAAGGAGAGUAAUAAGUGACCUUCUCUAAGUGAAGAUGCAAAACUCUGAGAGUUGUAAGGCUUAAGUGUUGUAAGGCAGGUUGGAAAUAUGCCUUAAUGUGGUACUAUUGGCUAUUAUAGCAAAUAUGUUGUCCUAGAGAUAAAUCUUGAAACAACACACCUAUAUGAGCUUCGAUUGUAAAACGUCGCAAUCUAAAGAUCUCGGUAAUCUCUAGUAAGCUCACGAAGAGACCAGGGAGUACGACAUAUAUGCUCCAAACCGCGGGGUAGCCUACAGGGAGCCAGAUACUGGUUAAGACUUUGAGUGAAAACUCUUCACAUAAACUUAGCAAUUCAAGAUAUAGUCCAUUGUCAAGUUGUGGAUGGAUGUAGCUUAAAGUUCUAGGCAGAAGUUCAACUUGAUAGUCUCUGCUGAAACACCCGUAUAUUAAACAAGUCGAGAGAAAAGGCAAAUCUCUAAAUGGGUAUUUGAGAUCUGAUCGGGGAUUGUUAGAAUUAAUGAGUGAAACCUCUUCACAUAAACCUAGCAAUUCAAGGUAUAAGUCCAUUGUCAAGUUGUGGAUGGAUGUAGCUUAAAGUUCUAGGCAGAAGUUCAACUUAAUAGUCUCUGCUGAAACACUCGUAUAUUAAACAAGUCGAGAGAAAAGGCAAAUCUCUAAAUGGGUAUUUGAGAUCUUAUGGGGGAUUGUUAUAAUUAAUGGGCUUGGCCCAUCUAAAAAUUCUGAAAUCUCAAAUUGAGCCCAUGAGUAAAAUGGCAAGUGGUGGUGUGGUGGUGCUAAAGUUUAGUCUCAUACCGCUAGUUGAGGAAGAGUUGGACCUCUUUAUAUAGUGAGUUCUCCCCACCAUUCUAUGUAUGUGUUGAGAACGGAAAGGAGAAGACCACACGCGCGCGCGCUCGCUCGCCUCGCCUCGCCUCUCCUGGCCGGGUCGGGCGGCGCGUACGUGCGACAUGCGCGUGAAUGGUCCGCCGAAUUCCGAUAUGUUUCCUUGCGGGGGCACGGCUUCCUUUUGCCAUUUUAUUUUUAUGUCUUGGCAGACAAGUUGAGAAUUUCUUGUCCGGUAAGUAUACGACUUGAAAACCAAGUCCGUUUGAGACGUGAUCGCGACACGGUACCGACCUUGAUCCUCCUAUAUAUACUGCUUACCAUGGCCGGCCAAAGAUACACCAAAAACAUCUAGGGUUUUGCCUCGUCUCACAAUGUGUGCCGCCGUCGUAGUCUACCUCAUCUCGAGCGUCCGCAUGCACCGGCAUGCGAGAGAGCAGGUCUCCGGAACCUUUCGUCCUUGCGAUCCUGCAUCGUAAGAGGACGAAUUAGGUUUUUGGGAAGCGCUUUGCACGACUACUCAAUGUCUUCACCAAGGGUCAUCUAUCGUCCAAGUCGGACGGUGCUACUCAUCAUCGUCCUCAUCGCCAUCAACAAAGGAUCGUCGCCAACAUCAUCAUCAACACAGUCACUCCUGCUGCAACUAACGAGCAAUACGUUACUUAUAAUUUGUUAAUGUUCACUGCUUCUUACGCGGUGAUGUUGUGCAUGUUCGGUUGCUCUUCUAGAUUGCUAGAGUAUUGCAUGAUACCUUUUCUUUUAGUCAUGAUUUAUUUAUUGAAAUUAAUCAUGAACUUGCCUAAUCUUCCAACAUCCACUAUAAGUCCAUGCGGUGGUCAGCGUGUGACAAGCUAGCGACCGCGAGUUCCUUAGGUGGUCGGUGUGCAAGCGACACAGGGAGGAGCCGUAGGACCCAAUUGUAAUCUGAAUUUUAGGUUUAUGAGGCUUACACGGAUCUUGUUGCAAAUUUAACUACUCACAUGUGGGCUUCAUAUUUGACCGGAAAUCAUUUAUACACGAUCUGUUCUACCGAGAAAUAAAUCAUUCCCAUUUCCUAUUUGGGAUCACAGUGUGAGUUAACAUGCAUUUUUGUUAACUGGUGCCUAUGGCGUUCAUAAAUUGACCGGCCCAUGUAGACACCUGUUGAUGAUUUUCUUAAAAAAAUUCAAUGAACUUUUUUUAAAAUUUCAACGAAUAUUUUUUAAGCUUGAUAAACAUUUUUUUCUGAAAAUCUAUGAACCUUUUCUAAAAUAUUAAAAUUCAAUGAACUUUUUUUAAUAUCAAUAAACUUUAUUGAAAUUUAAUGGGUAUAUUUUUGAAAAUGAAUGAUUUUUUGUAAAAAUUGAGAAACUUUUAUAAGGUUUAUGAAAAAAAUAAUCAAUGAACUUGUUUUAAAAAUACAUGAACUUUUUUGAAUUUCUAUGAACUUUUUCAAAUUUCAUAAAGUUUCUAAGGGUUUAAUCAACUAUUUCCAAAUUGGACGAACAUUUUUUCAAUUUCAAUGAACCUUUUUUCAAUAUGAUGAACUUUUUCAAAAUUGAUGAACCUUUUUUAAAGAUAUGAACUUUUUUAAAGUGGAUGAACCUUUUUCUUUAAAUAUUUAAACUUUUUAAAAUUUUAAAUUUUAUUUUCGUAACAAAUAGAAAUAUGGGCUUUUUUCCUACUGGGUCAACAGAAAAGGAUAAAAAAAACUGGACAGCAAGCUAAUGGGCCAGCCCAUGCCAACGGCGCUGCAGGCGCCGGAUCGCUAAGAGAUGCAUGCGCGCUGUAUAGGUGCUCCCUAAAAACUCUUCUAUACUUUUGUGAUAUACCUCAAAAUAAUUUUACAAUACUAGAUAUUACGGUCUCUAAUAGACUUGCUCUAACGAUAACAAGCUUGUAGGAAAACGUUCAUUCCUUUUAAGUGGGCUGCACUUCAGCCCACUUUUCACAUGCUAGAUUUUUCAAAUAUAAGUUAGUAAUUCUUUUGCAAAUUAUAAUCAUAGUAUAUUUUGAAUAUAAGUGUUACAAAUAUUAUAUGUACAAAUAAAAGAAUAAUAAAUCGUGUAUUUUCUUAAAAAUAUUCACUUAUUUACAUGUUGAUUAUAUUUAAAACAUUUAGAGUAAGUACAAAAAUAUUCAUUUUUUAGUAAAUGUGAAAACAUAUACCUCAUCGCUCAUAUUUAAAUUAUCAAAAUUAUGAAUACAUACAUUUUUGUUAAUUUUGAAUAAUUAUGAUUAUCUUGAAAUUAUAAAAAUUAGAAAAACAGAAAUACUUAUUUGUUUAUAUGAUUUUUUGAAAAAUAAUUUUCUAUAUUUAUAAGGCUUGGACAUUUUGCUUUAACACGUAAAUGUUUGAAGUUUCUUUUUAUUACUAUUAUUAAAAUAUAUGUACUUUAUAGAAAUACUAAAGAAGUAAAAAUGAAAAUGGGCUGCACAGACUGCAGCCUAAUUAAACCAUCAAAAUUUGAGCGUUGUAGGGGAAAUACACUUUGGUUUCUGGUUGUAUAUGCAUUCUAUAUAAGGAAUUUUUUUAAUAAUUAAAUAAAAACCAAAAGUUUAGAAUUAUUUUUGGAUUAAAGUUAACUUUAUUUUGCACUAGUAUAUAAAUUUCACAAAAACCCAACAUUUUCUUCUAGGAAAAAAAGAAAAAAAUUAUUUGCUNNNNNNNNNNNNNNNNNNNNNNNNNNNNNNNNNNNNNNNNNNNNNNNNNNNNNNNNNNNNNNNNNNNNNNNNNNNNNNNNNNNNNNNNNNNNNNNNNNNNNNNNNNNNNNNNNNNGUACAAUAGAAGGUCAAAUUUAUUUUAAAAAUAUCUCUAAAAAAGUUUAAUUUUUUUUAAAUUUGCUUUUUUUUUCAUAUAAAAUGUAUAUAGACCGAGAAACGAAAUGUUUUCGUCCAACGUUGUAGUGGUUAGCGUCAGCAUUUUGCUAGUGCUACGUCGCAAUUUCGGCCUUGGCAGUGGCAGUUUUUUUCGCCAUCCUUCCCUUAUUCUGAUAUAUGUGAGGUUUACUGGUCAAAUAGACAUAUACUUCCUCCGUUUCUUUUUACUCAGCGUAUAAGAUUUAGUCAAAGUCAAACAACAUAAAGUUUGACCAAAUUUAUAUCCAAAAAUAUGAAUAUCUAUUAUAUGAAAAUUGUAUAGUAUGAAAAUACAUCUCUUGGUGCAUUUGAUAAUAUUGAUUUCAUAUUGUGAAUGUUGAUAUUUUUUAAUAUAAAAUUAGUCAAACUUUAUAAAGCUUGACUUUGAUCAAACCUUAUAUACAGACUAAAAACAAACGGAGAAAGUAUAAAGCAAGCUCGUUGUUCGAAAUGUGUGUGACAUCAUGUGUGCAUGCUAAUCAAAAUACGAUGCCACAUCAUCACAUUGUCUGUCUACGGAUAAGAUUAUCAUCAUAUUUAUUUACACGCUCGUGCAAAUGCAAGUUCUAGCUUCAGACACUAAAAUAAAUACCAAUGACAACUUGACAAGUUCGAACAUUCAAUGGUAUUGUCUCAUCAAAAACAGGGGUGGACCCAGGAAAAAAGUUGAGAGGGGGCAAAAAAAUUAACCAUAUUCAUGAACCACCAAGGCAAAAGAUUCCACAUAAACUAAAUCAUGGGCGUAAUCACUUCAUUCUAGGCAUGAUAUUAAAAGUCAUUGAAAAGUGAGAGAAAACUAACCAUUUGAGACAAAAUGAAUUACGUCAAUAUGAAAAUAUCUUAGUUCUAAAGUUGCGUAAGAGAACAUCGCCACAUUGUUGUAAGAAUCAAAUCUCCUACAUAAAAGAAAAGAAACAUUAUUAAAUCGAGGGACAAUGAAAAUAUUGAAGAAGGACGAUACUAAAAAUUAGAAAAUGAGAUUUAGCCCAUUACCUUUCAUUUCAUCCCACGGCAACACCUUUCACCGCAUGAAAACAUAUAACUACCACUUCAUUGCGAAUUUUGUUCACCAAUUCUUUUUUGACAAAGUGGAUGAGGCUAUGGUUCAUAAAAUCAUCAAGUACUGCUUGUGUCCUCAUCCUGAUGCUGAUUACGAUUGUAACUACAAUCCUCUUCCUUUUAGAUGUAUCUCUAAGAAGCUUCUCCAAAUAAACUAUUUCAUGCAUUUUUAAAAUUAUUGAUUUCUGAAAACACACCUCUCCAUUAGCUUUCCUGCAACUUUAAGUACCGUAAACUAAAUGUUAAAUGAGUUGUCAAAUUGGUAUACUUGGUAUACGAAGACAAAGUGUGCUAGGAAGUAGGAAGUAGAAAUAUAUUAUUUGGACUACCCAUUGAUUGUAAGUACAAAGUUUCAUACUUAAUUUAUAUGUUAUUAUAGGAAAUAAUAUUUGAAUUGACCUAAGCUAGCAUCUAAAUUGGUAGAUUAUACAUAUAAGUUUAUGUUUUCUAACACAGAAAUUAAAGAACAAAAACUUUGGAAAAAGAAAACACUAGAGGACUUAUACGGCUUACCUUAAUGUCAAUUAGAACUAAGGAAUCAGGGAAUUGGGGUCCCUAUUUCUAUUUGGCGAUGGAGUUGAGCUGGCGCUGCUGCAGUGCAUGUGGUGCAAGGCCACCAUGACGCGAGGGACCGUCGUAGAUUGCCGGCGCCGGCGACGGCGCGACGGCGUGAGAGGAGAAAUCAGGGCAUCCGUCUCGUGCGUGGCUGCGCGCUUAAGGUGUGUAUCUAGGUUUAAUCUUGCGAUUGAGUUGGACAACGUGUGUAAUACGUACUUGCGUUGGGCCGUAGGCUACAGUCCACAUACACAUGAAUUG